GCACAGCACCACCUAUGAGCUGAAAGAUGACCACAGCUACAAUGUCACCUCCACCUGGCUCAGUUCCACGGUCUGUGAACACCGGAUCAGAACAUUUGUCCUACGUGACCACGAUCGGCCCGGCCAGUACACUGUAGCCAAUAUAAAACGUUACCGUGGACUCCAGAGUUACACCAUGAGAGUGGCAGCCACAGACUAUAAUACAUCUGCCUUGGUGUUCUUCAAGAUGAUUUUCAAGAACAAUGUAUCCUUUGAGACCAC
rnacentral:lncRNA from 1 species